rnacentral:rRNA from 1 species
GGCUGGCGGCAGGCUAACACUAUGCAGUCGAACGGAUCCUUCGGGAUUAGUGGCGGACGGGUGAGAUGGGAACGUGCCCUUUGGUUCGGAACAACUCAGGAAACUUGAGCUAAUACCGGAUGUGCCCUUCGGGGGAAAGAUUUAUCGCCAUUGGAGCGGCCCGCGUCUGAUUAGCUAGUUGGUGGGGUAAAGGCCCACCAAGGCGACGAUCAGUAGCUGGUCUGAGAGGAUGAUCAGCCACAUUGGGACUGAGACACGGCCCAAACUCCUACGGGAGGCAGCAGUGGGGAAUCUUGCGCAAUGGGCGAAAGCCUGACGCAGCCAUGCCGCGUGAAUGAUGAAGGUCUUAGGAUUGUAAAAUUCUUUCACCGGGGACGAUAAUGACGGUACCCGGAGAAAAGCCCGGUACUUCUGCCGCAGCCGCGGUAUACGAAGGGCUACGUGUCGGAAUACUGGCGUAAAGGACGUAGCGGAUGUUAGUU